GUUUCUGUAGUGUAGUGGUUAUCAUGUUUACCUAACACACAAAAGGUCCCUGGUUUGAAACUGGGUGGAAACA
rnacentral:tRNA from 1 species